UGGGGAAUAUUGCACAAUGGGGGAAACCCUGAUGCAGCGACGCCGCGUGAACGAAGAAGGUAUUCGUAUCGUAAAGUUCUGUCCUAUGGGAAGAUAAUGACAUUACCAUAGAAGAAAGCUCCGGCUAAAUACGUGCCAGCAGCCGCGGUAAUACGUAUGGAGCGAGCGUUGUCCGGAAUUAUUGGGCGUAAAGGGUACGCAGGCGGUUUAAUAAGUCGAAUGUUAAAGAUCGGGGCUCAACCCCGCAAAGCAUUGGAAACUGAUAAACUUGAGUAGUGGAGAGGAAAGUGGAAUUCCUAGUGUAGUGGUGAAAUACGUAGAUAUUAGGAGGAAUACCAGUAGCGAAGGCGACUUUCUGGACACAAACUGACGCUGAGGUACGAAAGCGUGGGGAGCAAACAGG
rnacentral:rRNA from 1 species